GCAUAGCCGGCGGGCCAUUCCGGCUCGGUGUCGGGUAGGAAAAGCCAGCGCCAGAGAAGGGCGAUGGCAACGCCGAGCGGCACGCCGGCCAUGCUAAUGCCAAAACCAAGGGCUUUUCCGACAUGGCGUUCGGCCCUGCCGGCGACGAUCUGCACCGCCAGAAUAACGCCGAUGAUGAUGGGCCAAAGUGCAUGGGCGAUCAGAUAGCCGCCCCAUGCGAUACGCAAUUCAGCGUUUAGCGAGAAAAACCAGAACGGUGCGGCGCAAGGCAAAAUCAAGACG
rnacentral:misc_RNA from 1 species